rnacentral:SRP_RNA from 1 species
CAGGAGGUCAACGGUCGGGGCGGCUAAACCUCGCCUACAUCGGGAAAUGGUUUUUUGCCCGAGCCGAAAGCCUCUGGAAGGGGUGAGUCUUGAAGAUAGCCUGUUUACUCGACUGAGAAGCUCUGUCCUUACGGACUUUUCCAGCUGCGAACCCUCCAGGUCCGGAAGGAAGCAAAGGUAAGCAGUUGGAAAGGUGCUGUAAGCAAACAGGGUGGAGAAGAGUAAACAGACAAACUAUCUUCAAGGCUUGCUUCGACCUGAGGCCCACCUCCUG